UUAAAUCGACCGCCUGGGGAGUACGGCCGCAAGGUUAAAACUCAAAUGAAUUGACGGGGGCCCGCACAAGCGGUGGAGCAUGUGGUUUAAUUCGAUGCAACGCGAAGAACCUUACCUGGUCUUGACAUCCACAGAACUUUCCAGAGAUGGAUUGGUGCCUUCGGGAACUGUGAGACAGGUGCUGCAUGGCUGUCGUCAGCUCGUGUUGUGAAAUGUUGGGUUAAGUCCCGCAACGAGCGCAACCC
rnacentral:rRNA from 1 species